rnacentral:rRNA from 1 species
CCUAGGGGAGGCAGCAGUGAGGAAUAUUGGUCAAUGGGCGCGAGCCUGAACCAGCCAAGUAGCGUGAAGGAUGACUGCCCUACGGGUUGUAAACUUCUGUUAUAAAGGAAUAAAGUGAGGCACGUGUGCCUUUUUGUAUGUAGUUUAUGAAUAAGGAUAGGCUAACUCCGUGCCAGCAGCCGCGGUAAUACGGAGGAUCCGAGCGUUAUCCGGAGUUAUUGGGGUUAAAGGGAGCGUAGAUGGGUUGUUAAGUCAGUUGUGACAGUUUGCGGCUCAACCGUAAAAUUGCAAUUUAUACUGGCAGCCUUGAGUACAGUUGAGGUCGGCGGCAUUCGUGGUGUAGCGG